GACGAACGCUGGCGGCGUGCUUAACACAUGCAAGUCGAACGCUGAGGCCCUGCUUUUGUGGGGUGCUUGAGUGGCGAACGGGUGAGUAACACGUGAGUAACCUGCCCUUGACUUUGGGAUAACUUCAGGAAACUGGUGCUAAUACCGGAUAUGAGCUCCUGCUGCAUGGUGGGGGUGGGAAAGUUGCGUUGGUUGGGGAUGGAGUCGCGGCUUAGCGUCUGGUUGGUGGGGUGGUUGUUUACCACGGCUUGGUCGGGUGGCCGGCCUGAGAGGUUGGGGGGGCGCAUCGGGCCAGAGACACGCCCGAGACACCAAUGGGAGGCAGUGGUGGAUAUAUGGCACAAUGGGCGGACGCCUGAUGCAGAAACGCCGAGGGCGGGAUGAUGGCAUUCGCGUUGUAAACCGCUUUCGCCUGUGAAGAAGCGUGAGUGACGGUAAUGGGUAAAGAAGCACCGGCUAACUACGUG
rnacentral:rRNA from 1 species